rnacentral:rRNA from 1 species
AGUGAACGCUGGCGGUAGGCCUAACACAUGCAAGUCGAACGGCAGCACAGUAAGAGCUUGCUCUUACGGGUGGCGAGUGGCGGACGGGUGAGGAAUACAUCGGAAUCUACUUUUUCGUGGGGGAUAACGUAGGGAAACUUACGCUAAUACCGCAUACGACCUACGGGUGAAAGCAGGGGAUCUUCGGACCUUGCGCGAUUGAAUGAGCCGAUGUCGGAUUAGCUAGUUGGCGGGGUAAAGGCCCACCAAGGCGACGAUCCGUAGCUGGUCUGAGAGGAUGAUCAGGCACACUGGAACUGAGACACCGUCCAGACUCCUACGGGAGGCCGCAGUGGGGAAUAUUUGACAAAGGGCGGAAGCCUUGACCAGCCAUACCGGGUUGGUUGAGGAAGCCUUCGGGUUGGAAAGCCCUUUUGUUUGGAAAGAAAAGCAGCAGGUUAAAACCCCGCUGGUCUUACGGGACCCAAAAGAUAAACACCGGCUAACUUCGUG